rnacentral:rRNA from 1 species
UACGUAGGGUGCGAGCGUUGUCCGGAAUUAUUGGGCGUAAAGAGCUCGUAGGCGGUGUGUCGCGUCGGCCGUGAAAACCUGGGGCUUAACUCUGGGCGUGCGGUCGAUACGGGCAUCACUGGAGUUCGGCAGGGGAGACUGGAAUUCCUGGUGUAGCGGUGAAAUGCGCAGAUAUCAGGAGGAACACCGGUGGCGAAGGCGGUUCUCUGGGCCUUACCUGACGCUGAGGAGCGAAAGCGUGGGGAGCGAACAGG